rnacentral:rRNA from 1 species
UACAGAUGUCCCAAGCGUUGUUCGGAUUCACUGGGCGUAAAGGGUGCGUAGGCGGUCGGGUAAGUCUGGCGUGAAAUCUCCAAGCCUAACUUGGAAACUGCGUUGGAUACUAUCCGGCUCGAGGAAUGGAGGGGAGACUGGAAUACUUGGUGUAGCAGUGAAAUGCGUAGAUAUCAAGUGGAACACCAGUGGCGAAGGCGAGUCUCUGGACAUUUCCUGACGCUGAGGCACGAAAGCCAGGGGAGCAAACGGG